rnacentral:rRNA from 1 species
GAUGAACGCUGGCGGCGUGCUUAACACAUGCAAGUCGAACGGGAAUUACUUUUUAGCUUGCUAAGUUGUAAUUCUAGUGGCGGACGGGUGAGUAACGCGUGGGUAACCUGCCUUAUACCGGGGGACAACAGUUGGAAACGACUGCUAAUACCGCAUAAGCGCACGGGAAGGCAUCUUUCUGUGUGAAAAACUCCGGUGGUAUAAGAUGGACCCGCGUCUGAUUAGCCAGUUGGCGGUGUAACGGACCACCAAAGCGACGAUCAGUAGCCGGCCUGAGAGGGCAAACGGCCACAUUGGGACUGAGACACGGCCCAAACUCCUACGGGAGGCAGCAGUGGGGAAUAUUGCACAAUGGAGGAAACUCUGAUGCUAGACGACCGCGUGAGUGAAGAAGUAUUUCGGUAUGUAAAGCUCUAUCAGCAGGAAAGAAAAUGAC